CGCUGGCGGCGUGCUUCAUACGAUGCAAGUCGAACGAGAAUCUGGCUUCGGUCAGAGGAAAGUGGCGGACGGGUGAGUAAUGUGUAGAGAAUCUGCCCUUUAGUGGGGGACAACAGUUGGAAACGACUGCUAAUACCCCAUAUGCGCGUAGCUGAGAUGCUAUUCGUGAAAACUCCGGUGCUAAAGGAUGAGUCUGCAUCUGAUUAGCUAGUUGGCGGUGUAAUGGACCACCAAGGCGACGAUCCAGUAGCUGGUUUGAGAGGAUGAUCAGCCACAAUGGGACUGAGACACGGCCCAUACUCCUACGGGAGGCAGCAGUAGGGAAUUUUGCGCAAUGGGGGAAACCCUGACGCAAGCAACGCCGCGUGAUUGAAUAAGCCCUUCGGGGUGUAAAGAUCUGUCAGUAGGGACGAAACUUGACGGUACCUACAGAGGAAGCAUCGGCUAACUCCGUGCCAGCAGCAGC
rnacentral:rRNA from 1 species